GAUGAACGCUGGCGGCGUGCCUAAUACAUGCAAGUCGAGCGAAUGGAUUAAGAGCUUGCUCUUAUGAAGUUAGCGGCGGACGGGUGAGUAACACGUGGGUAACCUGCCCAUAAGACUGGGAUAACUCCGGGAAACCGGGGCUAAUACCGGAUAACAUUUUGAACCGCAUGGUUCGAAAUUGAAAGGCGGCUUCGGCUUUCACUUAUGGAUGGAUCCGGGUCGCAUUAGCUAGUUGGUGAGGUAACGGCUCACCAAGGCAACGAUGCGUAGCCGACCUGAGAGGGUGAUCGGCCACACUGGGACUGAGACACGGCCCAGACUCCUACGGGAGGCAGCAGUAGGGAAUCUUCCGCAAUGGACGAAAGUCUGACGGAGCAACGCCGCGUGAGUGAUGAAGGCUUUCGGGUCGUAAAACACUGUUGUUAGGGAAGAACAAGUGCUAGUUGAAUAAGCUGGCACCUUGACGGUACCUAACCAGAAAGCCAUGGCUAACUACGUGCCAGCCGCCGCAGUAA
rnacentral:rRNA from 1 species